GCUGGCGGCAGGCCUCAUACAUGCAAGUCGAACGAGAAAGUAUCUUCGGAUACGAGUACAGUGGCGGACGGGUGAGUAAUACAUAGGAAUCUACCCAAUGAGGGGGAUAGCUCGAGGAAACUCGAAUUAAUACCGCAUAAUCUCCACGGNGUAAAGAGGGCUUCGGCUCUUGCCAUCGGAUGAGCCUAUGCAGGAUUAGCUUGUUGGUAAGGUAAAGGCUUACCAAGGCAACGAUCCUUAGCUGGGUUUGAGAGGAUGACCAGCCACAUCGGGACUGAGACACGGCCCGGACUUCUACGGAAGGCAGCAGUAGGGAAUAUUGGACAAUGAGCGAAAGCUUGAUCCAGCCAUGCCGCGUGUGCGAUGACGGCCCUCGGGUUGUAAAGCACUUUAGGUAACGAGGAAAAGUUAGGUGUUAAUACCAUCUAACCUUGACGUUAAUUACAGAAUAAGCACCGGCUAAAUCCGUG
rnacentral:rRNA from 1 species